CGCGCGCACACACCCCGGGCCUGCGGGCGUGUGCAGGCGCCGCAGACACACACCGGGCUGGGCUCGGGCGUGCGCGCGCCUGCGGUCCCACACACCAGCUCGCCGCCACCAGGACCCAGGGCCUUACAGCAAGACGUAGCCAGAUUUCUACCAAGGAAUUUUCUAUCUCACAACUGACUUCCCUCUGCCUUCUGAAGGAGGUAUACAAAAUCUGUCCUCAAUUCUGCUUUUAAAGUACUCUAUCCGCCUUAAGGAAUCAUCCCUCUCAGGGACAGACGAGGGGCAGCGGCAUUCAGGAGGACGGCGUACAGACAAGAAGGGAAAGUGCGUUACCUCUG